AUACUCUGUUUCCCUCAAACGCUAUAAAUCUUCGCCUUUUACUAAAAGGUUUCCGUGGAGGGGAACACUCUAGUGUCUAUUCAAUGUUUAUUCUAAUAGCCCACUUCUGGCUCUG